GGGGACGUAGCUCAGCUGGCUAGAGCACCUGCUUUGCAAGCAGGGGGUCGUGGGUUCGACUCCCAUCGUCUCCAC
rnacentral:tRNA from 1 species